AGUUAUCGUUUAUUUGAUAGCACCUUACUACUUGGAUAACCGUGGUAAUUCUAGAGCUAAUACAUGCUAAAAAUCCCGACUCACGAAGGGAUGUAUUUAUUAGAUUAAAAACCAAUGCCUUCGGGCUUUCUGGUGAUUCAUGAUAACUUCUCGAAUCGCAUGGCCUUGCGCCGGCGAUGGUUCAUUCAAAUUUCUUCCCUAUCAACUUUCGAUGCGAAGGUCUUGUCUUCGCAUGGUUACAACGGGUAACGGAGGGUUAGGGCUCGACCCCGGAGAGGGAGCCUGAGAAAUGGCUACCACUUUUAAGGAAGGCAGCAGGCGCGCAAAUUACCCAAUCCCGACACGGGGAGGUAGUGACAAUAAAUACUGAUACAGGGCUCUUAUGGGUCUUGUAAUCGGAAUGAGUACAAUUUAAAUCCCUUAACGAGGAACAAUUGGAGGGCAAGUCUGGUGCCAGCAGCCGCGGUAAUUCCAGCUCCAAUAGCGUAUAUUAAAGUUGUUGUGGUUAAAAAGCUCGUAGUUGAACCUUGGGCCUGGCUGGCCGGUCCCCCUCACCGGGUGCACUGGUCCGGCCGGGUCUUUCCCUCUGUGGAACCGCAUGCCCUUCACUGGGUGUGUCGAGGAAACAGGACUUUUACUUUGAAAAAAUUAGAGUGCUCCAGGCAGGCCUAUGCUCGAAUAGUACAGCAUGGAAUAAUAGAAUAGGACGUGUGGUUCUAUUUUGUUGGUUUCUAGGACCGCCGUAAUGAUUAAUAGGGACAGUCGGGGGCAUCAGUAUUCAGCUGUCAGAGGUGAAAUUCUUGGAUCUGCUGAAGACUAACUACUGCGAAAGCAUUUGCCAAGGAUGUUUUCAUUGAUAAGGAACGAAAGUUAGGGGAUCGAAGACGAUCAGAUACCGUCGUAGUCUUAACCAUAAACUAUGCCGACUAGGGAUCGGACGAUGUUAUUUUUUGACUCGUUCGGCACCUUUCGAGAAAUCAAAGUG
rnacentral:rRNA from 1 species